GGGAGUGUAGCUCAGUGGUAGAGCAUGUGCUUAGUAUGCAUGAAGCUCUCAGUUCAAUCCUA
rnacentral:tRNA from 1 species